rnacentral:rRNA from 1 species
GAUGAACGCUGGCGGCGUGCUUAACACAUGCAAGUCGAACGAUGACACCGUGCUUGCACGGGUGAUUAGUGGCGAACGGGUGAGUAAUACGUGAGUAACCUGCCCCCGACUUUGGGAUAAGUCCGGGAAACGGGGCCUAUUACCGGAUAUGACUUCUUACCGCAGGGUGGGUUGUUGAAAGAUUUCUCGGUAGGGGAUGGACGCGCGGCCUAUCCGCUUGUUGGGGAGGUAAUGGCUCACCAACUCGACGACGGAUAGCCGGCCUGAGAGGGUGACCGGCCACACUGGUACUGAGACACGGCGCAGAGUCGUACGGGAGGCAGCGGUGGAGAGUAUUACACAGUGGGCGCAAGCCUGAUGCAGCGGCGCCGCGUGAGGGAUGACGGCCUUCGGGUUGUAAACCUCUUUCAGUAGGGAAGAAGCGAAAGUGACGGUACCUGCAGAAGAAGCGCCGGCUAACUACGUG